AGCCCCGUGGUGCAGUGGCCAAGCAUAGGAGGCUUUGGACCUCUUGACCUCGGUUCGAAUCCGGGCGGGGCUA
rnacentral:tRNA from 1 species